GCCUGGCUGGCUCAGUUGGUGGAACAUGUGACUCCUGAUCUCAGGGUUGUGGGUUUGAGCCCCACGUUGGGAG
rnacentral:tRNA from 1 species